GUUGUAUGGUUAAGUGACUAAGCGUAUGUGGUGGAUGCCUUGGCAGUUAGAGGCGAUGAAGGACGUGUUAAUCUGCGAAAAGCUGAGUUAAGCCGAUAAAAGGCGUUAUAGGCUCAGAUGUCCGAAUGGGGAAACCCACCCGUCAUCAGGCGGGUAUCGUUAAGUGAAUUCAUAGCUUAACGAGGCGAACCGGGAGAACUGAAACAUCUAAGUACCCCGAGGAAAAGAAAUCAACCGAGAUUUCCUUAGUAGCGGCGAGCGAACGGGAAUUAGCCCUUAAGCGGUUUGUAAGUUAGUGGAAUGAGCUGGAAAGCUCAGCGAUACAGGGUGAUAGCCCCGUACACGAAAAUGAACUUACCGUGAAAUCGAGUAGGUCGGGACACGAGAAAUCUUGACUGAAUAUGGGGGGACCAUCCUCCAAGGCUAAAUACUCCUAACUGACCGAUAGUGAACCAGUACCGUGAGGGAAAGGCGAAAAGAACCCCUGUGAGGGGAGUGAAAUAGAACCUGAAACCGCAUACGUACAAGCAGUGGAAGCCCUUCGGGGUGACUGCGUACCUUUUGUAUAAUGGGUCAGCGACUUAUGUUCUGUAGCUAGGUUAACCGAAUAGGGGAGCCGUAGCGAAAGCGAGUGUUAACUGCGCGUUCAGUUGCAGGGCAUAGACCCGAAACCCGGCGAUCUACCCAUGGGCAGGUUGAAGGUUGAGUAACAUCAACUGGAGGACCGAACACACGUAUGUUGAAAAAUGCGGUGAUGACCUGUGGGUCGGAGUGAAAGGCUAAUCAAGCCGGGAGAUAGCUGGUUCUCCCCGAAAUCUAUUUAGGUAGAGCCUCGGACGAACACCAUUGGGGGUAGAGCACUGUUAAGGCUAGGGGGUCAUCCCGACUUACCAACCCUUUGCAAACUCCGAAUACCAAUGAGUGCUAUCCGGGAGACACACUAUGGGUGCUAACGUCCAUAGUGGAAAGGGAAACAACCCAGACCGCCAGCUAAGGUCCCAAAGUCAUAGUUAAGUGGGAAACGAUGUGGAAAGGCAUAGACAGCUAGGAGGUUGGCUUAGAAGCAGCCACCCUUUAAAGAAAGCGUAAUAGCUCACUAGUCGAGUCGGUCUGCGCGGAAGAUGUAACGGGGCUAAACUAUGCACCGAAGCUGCGGAUUGGAGCAUAUCACUAAAGUUAUUUAAGACUUCUGUGUUUUCUUCUUUUUGAUAAAUGAAGAGAAAACACUCAAGCGUCCCCAAACAGUCGAUGGGCUGUGCGGAUAGAGAUGAUUUUAGGAUAUGCUCCAGUGGUAGGGGAGCGUUCUGUAAGCCGUUGAAGGUGAACUGAGAAGUUUGCUGGAGGUAUCAGAAGUGCGAAUGCUGACAUGAGUAACGAUAAUGGGGGUGAAAAACCCCCACGCCGAAAGACCAAGGUUUCCUGUCCCAUGUUAAUCAGGGCAGGGUAAGUCGGCCCCUAAGGCGAGGCGGAAACGCGUAGUCGAUGGGAAACAGAUUAAUAUUUCUGUACUUCUUAUAAUUGCGAAGGAGGGACGGAGCAGGCUAGGCAAGCAUGGCGUUGGUUGUCCAUGUGAAAGUAUGUAGGCUGAAGAAUUAGGUAAAUCCGGUUCUUCUUAAGGCUGAGAUACGAGACGAGGCUCUACGGAGCUGAAGUUGUUGAUGCCCUACUUCCAGGAAAAGCUUCUAAGCAUCAGAUUAUAAGGAACCGUACCCCAAACCGACACAGGUGGUUAGGUAGAGAAUACUAAGGCGCUUGAGAGAACUCGGGUGAAGGAACUAGGCAAAAUAGUACCGUAACUUCGGGAGAAGGUACGCCGGCUAGGGUGAUGAGACUUGCUCUCUAAGCCUCGGUCGGUCGAAGUAACCAGGUGGCUGGAACUGUUUAUUAAAAACACAGCACUGUGCAAAAUCGAAAGAUGACGUAUACGGUGUGACGCCUGCCCGGUGCCGGAAGGUUAAUUGAUUGGGUUAGCGCAAGCGAAGCUCAUGAUCGAAGCCCCGGUAAACGGCGGCCGUAACUAUAACGGUCCUAAGGUAGCGAAAUUCCUUGUCGGGUAAGUUCCGACCUGCACGAAUGGCGUAAUCAUGGCCACACUGUCUCCACCCGAGACUCAGUGAAAUUGAAUUUGCGGUUAAGAUGCCGUAUACCCGCGGCUAGACGGAAAGACCCCGUGAACCUUUACUAUAGCUUGACAGUGAACAUUGCUCCUACAUGUGUAGGAUAGGUGGGAGGCUUUGAAACUUUGUCGCCAGAUAGAGUGGAGCCAAUCUUGAAAUACCACCCUUGUAUGCGUGAUGUUCUAACCUAGGCCCCUAAUCGGGGCUGGGGACACUGUCUGGUGGGUAGUUUGACUGGGGCGGUCUCCUCCCAAAGCGUAACGGAGGAGCACGAAGGUUGGCUAAGUACGGUCGGACAUCGUACGGUUAGUGCAAUGGCAUAAGCCAGCUUAACUGCGAGAUAGACACAUCGAGCAGGUACGAAAGUAGGUCAUAGUGAUCCGGUGGUUCUGUAUGGAAGGGCCAUCGCUCAACGGAUAAAAGGUACUCCGGGGAUAACAGGCUGAUACCGCCCAAGAGUUCAUAUCGACGGCGGUGUUUGGCACCUCGAUGUCGGCUCAUCACAUCCUGGGGCUGAAGUCGGUCCCAAGGGUAUGGCUGUUCGCCAUUUAAAGUGGUACGCGAGCUGGGUUUAGAACGUCGUGAGACAGUUCGGUCCCUAUCUGCCGUGGGCGUUUGAGAAUUGAAGAGGGCUGCUCCUAGUACGAGAGGACCGGAGUGGACGAACCUCUGGUGUUCCGGUUGUCACGCCAGUGGCAUUGCCGGGUAGCUAUGUUCGGAACUGAUAACCGCUGAAAGCAUCUAAGCGGGAAGCAGGCUUUGAGAUGAGUUCUCACUGGAGCUUUAAGCUCCCUAAAGGGUCGUUGGAGACUACAACGUUGAUAGGUCAGGUGUGUAAGUGCUGCGAGGCAUUGAGCUAACUGAUACUAAUUGCCCGUGAGGCUUAACCAUACAACACCAAAG
rnacentral:rRNA from 1 species